rnacentral:tRNA from 31 species
GGUGAGGUGGCCGAGUGGCUGAAGGUACUCCCCUGCUAAGGGAGCGUGGGUCUUAAAGCCCACCGAGGGUUCGAAUCCCUCUCUCACCGCCA